rnacentral:lncRNA from 1 species
CUCUUCUUGGAAAGGUAUACUGACUAUACUGUUAAUAUAAUUUGAAGAAGGAAAAUGAUUGGUUUUGUUUGUAGCCUUACGUCCAGUGGCAAAUAUUUCAUUCAUGUUCAGAUCGAGUAUAUUUUUCUGACGUUCCAGACUCCCAGAUAUUAUUCAUUAUCGUUAUGGAUAAGUUUGGCAACGAGAUAAUGCAAAUCUGAGACCUCAGUGCAAAUGUACAUAGUUUUCUUGCGUUUAACAACACUGUGUUCAUUACUAUGAUAUCCCAUAAUUCAUCCACUGUACAAUUUUCGUUUUCACAAGAGCAUUUGUCAAAACAGAAUCUUAAAUCAUGAAUGUAAAUCCAAG